rnacentral:rRNA from 1 species
AGAGUUUGAUCAUGGCUCAGAUUGAACGCUGGCGGCAGGCCUAACACAUGCAAGUCGAGCGGAAACGACUUAACUGAACCUUCGGGGAACGUUAAGGGCGUCGAGCGGCGGACGGGUGAGUAAUGCCUAGGAAAUUGCCUUGAUGUGGGGGAUAACCAUUGGAAACGAUGGCUAAUACCGCAUAAUGCCUACGGGCCAAAGAGGGGGACCUUCGGGCCUCUCGCGUCAAGAUAUGCCUAGGUGGGAUUAGCUAGUUGGUGAGGUAAUGGCUCACCAAGGCGACGAUCCCUAGCUGGUCUGAGAGGAUGAUCAGCCACACUGGAACUGAGACACGGUCCAGACUCCUACGGGAGGCAGCAGUGGGGAAUAUUGCACAAUGGGCGAAGGCCUGAUGCAGCCAUGCCGCGUGUAUGAAGAAGGCCUUCGGGUUGUAAAGUACUUUCAGUUGUGAGGAAGGGGGUGUCGUUAAUAGCGGCAUCUCUUGACGUUAGCAACAGAAGAAGCACCGGCUAACUCCGUGCCAGCAGCCGCGGUAAU